AAACCAACAUAAGGAAUGAAGCUUACAAGUAUAGAAUGGCUAAGUACCAUGAUCAGAAAGUUCGACCUAGGUCAUUUUCGAAAGGCGAGCUAGUAAUGAGAAGAGCUGACAUCGGCAAAGGAGAAGCUAGUGUUAGCAAACUAUAACAUAACUAGGAAUGCCUCUAUAAGGUCGUCAAAGUACUUAACCGAGGUGCAUAUGGAAUAACUAACAUGAGAAA
rnacentral:lncRNA from 1 species